rnacentral:rRNA from 1 species
GACGAAUGCUGGCUGCGUGCUUAACACAUGCAAGUCGAACGGUGAAAGGGAGCUUGCUCCCUGGAUCAGUGGCGAACGGGUGAGUAACACGCGGGCAACCUGCCCCUCACUCUGGGAUAACUCCGGGAAACCGGGGCUAAUACCGGAUACGACCUGGUGCGACAUCGCACCGGGUGGAAAGAACUUCGGUGAGGGAUGGGCCCGCGGCCUAUCAGCUUGUUGGUGGGGUAACGGCCCACCAAGGCGACGACGGGUAGCCGGCCUGAGAGGGCGACCGGCCACACUGGGACUGAGACACGGCCCAGACUCCUACGGGAGGCAGCAGUGGGGAAUAUUGCGCAAUGGGCGAAAGCCUGACGCAGCGACGCAGCGUGAGGGACGAAGGCCUUCGGGUUGUAAACCUCUUUCAGCGGGGACGAAGCGAAAGUGACGGUACCCGCAGAAGAAGCACCGGCUAACUACGUGCCAGCAGCCGCCGUAAGAC